GGUGGUGCAUGGUUGUCGUCAGCUCGUGUCGUGAGAUGUUGGGUUAAGUCCCGCAACGAGCGCAACCCUUGUCCUGUGUUGCCAGCACGUUGUGGUGGGGACUCACGGGAGACCGCCGGGGUUAACUCGGAGGAAGGUGGGGAUGACGUCAAAUCAUCAUGCCCCUUAUGUCCAGGGCUUCACACAUGCUACAAUGGUCGGUACAGUGGGUUGCUACACCGUGAGGUGGUGCUAAUCUCUUAAAGCCGGUCUCAGUUCGGAUUGGAGUCUGCAACUCGACUCCAUGAAGUCGGAGUCGCUAGUAAUCGCAGAUCAGCAAUGCUGCGGUGAAUACGUUCCCGGGUCUUGUACACAC
rnacentral:rRNA from 1 species